UACCAUCGCCACAAGUGGUGAACACAUUUAUUGGGCCUAAAGCGUUCGUAGCUGGUCUGUUAAAUUCUUUGUGAAAUCGUUGUGCUUAACAUAACGGCGCGCGGAGAACACUGGCAGACUAGGGACCGGGAGAAGUUAGAAGUAUUCCAGAGGGAGCGGUAAAAUGUUAUAAUCUCUGGAGGACUACCUGUGGCGAAGGCGUCUAACUAGAACGGAUCCGACAGUGAGGAACGAAGGCCAGGGGAGCGAACCGG
rnacentral:rRNA from 1 species